rnacentral:rRNA from 1 species
CCUACGGGGGGCUGCAGUGAGGAAUAUUGGUCAAUGGGCGCAAGCCUGAACCAGCCAUCCCGCGUGCAGGAUGACGGCCCUAUGGGUUGUAAACUGCUUUUAUACACCAAGAAAAAUCUCCACGUGUGGGGACCCGACGGUAGUGUAUGAAUAAGCAUCGGCUAACUCCGUGCCAGCAGCCGCGGUAAUACGGAGGAUGCGAGCGUUAUCCGGAUUCAUUGGGUUUAAAGGGUGCGUAGGCGGCUUUUUAAGUCAGUGGUGAAAUCCUGUCGCUUAACGAUAGAAUUGCCAUUGAUACUGAUAAGCUUGAGUACAGUUGAGGUAAGCGGAAUGUGUAGUGUAGCGGUGAAAUGCUUAGAUAUUACACAGAACACCGAUUGCGAAGGCAGCUUACUAAACUGUUACUGACGCUGAUGCACGAAAGCGUGGGGAGCGAACAGGAUUAGAUACCCUGGUAGUC